CCACUCAGCUGAUUGUUAUUGGCACCAAUUCCGACACUACUUCCUUUAUUACU
ensembl:ncRNA C17H11.7 ncRNA